rnacentral:rRNA from 1 species
AGCCGGAAUCGCUAGUAAUCGCGGGUCAGCUAUACCGCGGUGAAUACGUUCUCAAGUCUUGUACUCAC